ensembl:lncRNA
CUGGAGGCGGGCACUCACGCUGUCAAUCGAAUAGCAGGUGUGACCAUUUAGGUGCCUGAUUGAAAUACGAUCUUGGAACAUAACGUCAGCCAAAUUCAUGUUUUAGACCUUGUACUUACUAAUUAUAUAUUAAGAAUGGGUUCAAAUUUUUAAUUUUACUGUCAUACCUAUGUCCGCUGCUGACGUAGGUUAUAUUUUUACAUCCGUAACUUGGGUUAGGAUUAUGAUCAAGGACUAGGUCAAACGGGGUCCUUAUUUGGGUCCUCGAGUUUAGAAAGCAGUGGAGGAGAGGAGCUCCUUAAGGAAGCCAGCAGAGCAAAAGUCCGUGCUGGGACGAUGGGUCCUACUGGAUGGAUUAAAUGUCUCCUGCUGUGACGCGUUUGUCUUCAGAUCAGCUCGCUUCUGAGAGAGAAAAACAUCGAAACACGGACUGUGAAAAGAAGUGCAACCACAAAAGAGUUCAUUCACACGGAAGAUACCGCUCCGAGUCUCAUUCACACACUUCAAAACACCGCUCUUCCUCACGCGGUCACCAUCCGGAGGACACGCCCCCCCACCUCCCCCGGAAGUCAGAAAGUAGUGCGGGACAGGUCUCCAGAGGUCAGAAAAUACACUGACAGUGGGGGGAAUAAUGUAACGGGCUUUGUUUUGACCACACAUUAGAUCUCUACAUGAACACACCUAUGAAUUCCUACAAUUCUGCUAAUUUCCAUUUGCCAUUAAAGGUGCUGAACAAUAAUAUUAAAUAGCAUUUUUUAAAACUAAAAGACGGAAUUCGAUUAUUGGGAGAGACUGUGAAUAUCAUUGUGACUUGAAAGGACGAUUUUCAGAGCUAUUUUAAUACGUCAUUGUGUAUUGCAAGUUUCUCCUCAGGCUUGUUUCUUUUUUUAUUUAUAGAAAUGUAUUGAAAUGUAUUGUUUGUAUAAACACAUACUUUGUGUGUGUGUGUGAAUACAGUCACACACGAAGUAGGAUAUAUGUUUAUAUAUUAUGUGUUUACGUUGUAUAAUUUAUAUUUUUUCAAAAAUGAUAUUUUGUUAAUGAAUAAAUGAUUAUGAUGAUAACGUUUAGAAUGAACGUUUGUGAAAUAAACGCGAGUGUUUGUGGG